rnacentral:rRNA from 1 species
UACAGGUAGGCGAGGCGAGUAGCCUAAGGGGCUCGAGUGAUUUACGGAAAAGGAACUCGGCAAAAUGACCCCGUAACUUCGGGAUAAGGGGUGCCAGUAGUAGCUGACCUAAUCAAGGGAAGGCGAGGCUGGCCGCAGAGAAUCGUCUCAAGCGACUGUUUAGCAAAAACACAGGAGCGUGCUAAGGCAUUGUCCAAGCCUACGUAUACGCUCUGACUCCUGCCCGGUGCCGGAAGGUUAAGGCAAGUCGUCAGCCGCAAGGCGAAGCGAUGAACCGAAGCCCCGGUAAACGGCGGCCGUAACGAUAACGGUCCUAAGGUAGCGAAAUUCCUUGUCGGGUAAGUUCCGACCUGCACGAAUGGAGUAACGACUUGAGAGCUGUCUCUUCCGUAAGCUCGGCGAAAUAGAAGCAUCGGUGAGGAUUCCGAUUACCCGCGACAGGACAAAAAGACCCCAUGCACCUUUACUACAACCUGUCAUUGAUUGUCGGUAUGCGCUGCGUAGCAUAGGUGGGAGCCAUUGAGACCGCGGUUUUGGCUGCGGUGGAGGCACCAGUGAAAUACCACCCUUCGUUUACUAACAAUCUCACUCAGCCGGCAACACCGGCGAGGACCGUGGCAGGCGGGUAGUUUGACUGGGGCGGUCGCCUCCUAAAGAGUACCGGAGGCGCGCAAUGGUUGGCUCAGUGCGGUCGGUAAUCGCACGUGGAGUGUAUACGCAAAAGCCAGCCUGACUGCGAGCGCUACAGCGCGAGCAGGGACGAAAGUCGGUGUAAGUGAUCCGGCGGGACCGUGUGGACGGCCCGUCGCUCAUCGGAUAAAAGGUACGCUGGGGAUAACAGGCUUAUCGCGCCCGAGAGUUCACAUCGACGGCGCGGUUUGGCACCUCGAUGUCGGCUUGUCACAUCCUGGGGCUGGAGAAGGUCCCAAGGGUCCGGCUGUUCGCCGGUUAAAGUGGCACAUGAGCUGGGUUCAGAACGUCGUGAGACAGUUCGGUCUGUAUCCGUCGUGGGCGUGGGAGUGUUGAGGGACGUCGACCUUAGUACGAGAGGACCGGGUCGAAGCGACCGCUCGUGUACGGGCUGUUCCGCCAGGGGCAGCGCCCGGUAGCGAUGUCGCGCGAAGAUAACCGCUGAAAGCAUCUAAGUGGGAAACUUUUCCCAAGAUGAACACUCCUGGAUCUUAAGAUCCCUGUAGGGCCGUAGGAGACUACUACGUUGAUAGGCGGCAGAUGCACGGCACGUAAGUGCUUUAGUCGAGCCGUACUAAUCGCCCGUGAAGUUUGAUCUC